GAUGAACGCUAGCGACAGGCCUAACACAUGCAAGUCGAGGGGCAUCGGGACGUAGCAAUACGUUGCCGGCGACCGGCGGAUGGGUGAGUUAACGCGUAUGCAACCUACCCGUAGCAGGGGGAUAGCCCGUUGAAAGACGGAUUAAUACCCCGUAACACAGGGGCUCCGCAUGGAGAUUAUUGUUAAAGGGUCAUUUCUUUUUCAGGGAUGGUCCGGCUGCGGAUGGGCAUGCGUUCCAUUAGGUAGUUGGUGUAGGUAACUGCUCACCAAGCCGACGAUGGAUAGGGGAACUGAGGGGUUGGUCCCCCACACUGGUACUGAGACACGGACCAGACUCCUACGGGAGGCAGCAGUGAGGAAUUUUGGUCAAUGGACGCAAGUCUGAACCAGCCAUGUCGCGUGAAGGAGGACGGCCCUAAGGGUUGUAAACUUCUUUUGCAGUGGAAUAAAGUUUGCCACGUGUUGGCGAUUUGCAAGUACGCUGCGAAUAAGGAUCGGCUAACUCCGUG
rnacentral:rRNA from 1 species